CGGGGCUCGGGGAAGGUGCUGGCCCUGGAGGUGGAGUGGACUGUCAAGGCGAUGCUAUGAAAGGCUGAGGGGAGAAGUGAACAAGAGGCCCAGAGCUUGUUGAAGGGCAGUGUGUACAUCACAAUUAAUUCAGGAGUCUUUCGAAAACAAAGGCUCUCUAUCGCUUUCAACAUGUUUAUACAAUAGUGGACAGAAAGAGCAGCCGAAGUGUCAUCUCAAUCGCCCCCUCCCUAUCUGUUGUCUUUGCCUUCCCACACAUUCAGCCCACCUUCAGCACUGUCUCCUCUUCAGACCCUUUCUUGCUACAAAUUCUUUUUCUUUUAACCGUGCCACAGACUGUGCUGUCCACAGACUUCCCAAGGUUCCAUUGUGAGGCAUCCAUGGCUGUGAUGCCCCACAUGCUCCCACUUGGAGAUACUCAGCACAGGGAAGCUCAUGGCAACAGGAGUCCUAAUACAGCAGCCAUGCUUUAGGAAGGUACUGCUGGCAAAGGGAAAAGUCCACCCUAGCUCAGCCCUCUUUCCCCUGGACUUGAACAACAUCAGAUUUAAGCCUUAGCAGAGGCCACUGUAUUACAUGUACAAAAGCAGGUUCUAUAAAAAGAGAGAAGACCACCAUUUCCUUCGAGUCGUAUAGGAAUCCCCAGGUUAAAGUGGCUGCACCAGGACCAUAUUGUCUUCUCCAUCUAAAGAGCAAGCCAGCUGAGAUGUACCAGGCUUCGCUUGCCUAGCAAAGGGACAGAGAGGUAAAGAGAGCUGUAUAAGACCUCAGGAACAGUGAUGGGAUCAGUGAAAGAGGCAGGGAAGGUCACACAUGAAGACCAAGGCAUGUGGCUUGGGUCAUGAAUUCCUCCCCAGCCGUUCCCACUUGACUCCCCACGCAAACACAAAGUUGAUGGCCAACAGCUUUCUCCACCUCAUGGUUUCCAUCACAAACCGGCCUGGAAAGAGGGCAUCUCAGUGCACAGCUACACCUCUCUGUAAUGCUUUCUCUUUCCCUUCACUUUGGAAUAUGCACCCUAGCAGACCCCAAGACCUUACAUCCUUGCAGUGAGCAUGCACUGGUCUCACUCAGCCAACACAUACCAGUUAAACCAGGCUGACAUACAGGCUUUUGUCCUGAUGCCAACACAGAACAAACCACACAACUUGAUUUAGCUGGAUGUGUUAGCAAGAUCAAGGAUUCAUCAGCUCCCAGACCCUCCCUUGUGGUGCUCACAGCCCUCACAGCAGUGUGGUGCCCCUCCCUGGCUCUCCAAGCACUCCAAAAACCUGGCAGAAGUCAAAGCCCCUCACAGGCUCUGGUGCUGCUUCCAAGGGCAAGGGCUUCCAGCUGGGGCUGCUUUCUCACCUGUACUCCCUCUGAGCCCCAGAGGCCUGUAUUGCACCCCAGGACCCUGAGAACGACUGCAAAGAGCCAGGAGGCCUCACGUGAAAACCCAACAACCCUGGUGAGAAUGUAAUUGCCUUCAAAGCCAGCAGUGCCGGCGUGAGAGGCUGCCUUUAAGUACAGCCAUUCCAUAAUCGCGUGCUUCACCCAGGUGCACAGCAUCUUUUGCAAAGGCCCAAGGGACUGAAACAGCUCUAGCAAGGCCUUAAGAGAAGGGAAAUUGCUAUCAGAGACUCCUGUCGACUCCACAGCCCACCAAGGAGGCUGCUGGCUUCUACAGGCCAUCCCCCAUCUGUUGGAAUAGCAGGAAGUUUUACGUUAGCAAUAAAAAAUAAAAAAUGCUGGAGUCCAACUGGUGACUGAAGUCUGGUGCCAGGCUCUGCUGCAGAGACAUCACAGCUGCUUACAGUGCCUGCUCUGAAAGAGGUACUCAUUAAACAUUUGCCUUGGGUUUGUUUUCCCUGUUUGCUAAAAGCAAACAUUCACAACAAAAAUCUAAAAGGGAGGACUGCAAAUCAAAAGUUUGAUUUAAUAAAAAACAAAUAGCACCACCCAUCUAACUCUGAGCUCUUCUUCCUUUGCCUUCUGCUUUUAGCCUUUAGGGGUUAUUUUUGAAAAGCUUAAGGCUGUGUGGACUAGAAGUGAUUUUUAUUUUCUAAUUGAGAAUCCUAGAUUUUCAACUAAGAGAUCAGGCUUUUUGAGAAGACCCCAAGUAACCAGUAUACUCUUUAGAGCUGGAAGAAGGUGUUUCAUAUCACAGAACUACCUCAAGAUGCAGAAAAGACUUUCCUAAGCUAGGUAUUUUUGGCGGAGUUCCUACCUUUUUGCCCAGCUAUGGAGAUGCUUUCAAUAGCUGCAGAUACCUUCCCUGCAUAAACCAUGAAUACUGGCAGAUCAAGGCUGAGGAGCUGGUCAACAAACUAGACUACUAAAACACAGAACACACAUCAAUGCCAGGUUGCUUAGAGGAAAGCACUCAUCAGUAGAAUUGAGACAGCAGAGCUGUGAACAGAAUUUAGAAGUACUAACAUCUCAAUGUUAGAAAUGCAUAAGUUCUCCAACAGGAGUGGGAAGCCCACAGCCAGUAAGCCAGGCAGCACCCACCACUUUGCAUCAUAUGGCCCAAUAGCACAUGAGCUAAUACUAAUAUUAGUACCAUCCAGCUACAUCUGAAGCAGUUUGAAAAGUUUAUUUAGCAGGUUCCACACAUUACCCUGAAGCCUGGUGAGCUCUGGCUGGUUGCAAGCCCAUCUACUGUCAUACUAAGGGCUGAGCCUUCAGAUAUCCCACUGUCCCACUUUCAGGAAGCUAGUGCUCCCCAGGCACCACUGCUUUUCUUGCACCCCAUACCUCCUUCUGCUGUGUAGCAUCCAUGGAGCAUGACAUUACCUGCCUGCAGCUCUCCUGGUGGCACCCCUGCACCUGGAGGCCUGCCUGUCUUUGGGCCCACCCUUCUCAGCAUGGCCAGCACCAAGACGAUCUCCUCCAGCUCUUGGGCACCUGGGGGGAAGCUGGUUUCCUUGUGGAGCUGCACUGUGAGGCACUGACACGAAUCGAUCCAUAAGCCACCCUGAUGUUCUCUGCUUCUGAUUGCUACAUUUUUUGUGACAAAUUGAUAAACUGCAUCUCCACUCAGUUAAAGAUUUGAUCUCGCUCUCUUAAUCCGCUAUCAAUAAGAUAUUAAUCGCGCACCCGACCCGUUCUGUUCCCCGUCUGCCUGCAAAUCCAAUAAUCAUUUCAGAAUUCACAGCUGAGUGGGGCACUCCCUUCAAACAAUUAAUUAUAGGGGAGUCUCAUUUAUUUUCCCUGUAACUCUCUUCCCCCCCACAUCCCUCCCCUGCCUGCCUGUCUGUCUCCUUCUUCCACCCCCUCCUUCCCUAGAUGAAAUUCAUGCUCAGCAGAGACAGAAGGUGGGAUUGCAACUUAGACUGGGAGCUGAAGAGGUCCUGUUGAACUCCCUUCCAUUUGCUGUUCCACACAACAGAUUUAACCCCACUUGCCCAGCCCCCAGAUUUCUCUGAAAGUGGAGGCCAAAUUCACCCCAAAGCUAAAACUCUGAAGAAUCCCCAGAAAUGCAUAGUCCCUCCAACACCAACCCUGGCAUUUGUCCUGCCAGUGAAUUGGGAUUUUUACCUCUGGCCAACCAGGACAGGGUUUAUUCAUGCCCAGAGCCACAUGCCUCAGGACAGCUCAGGUGAAGGAUAGUUGGAUGAGAAAUCUCUGUGUGGGCCAUGAGAAUGGAUGAACUGAUGACAACUGAGCUUUAUCCACAUAUUGCUUUGACAUCUUCUCCUAACAGCCCACACUGCUACCUGAGUGCAUCUUGAUUUGGACUUUAGAGCUUUCACUUUCUGUCCCUGGUCCAGAAGAGAACCAAGCUUCCUGGCCAGCUGUGCUCUCAGGCAAGGUCUCACUGCACCAUUCCUUCCCUGUCCAGCCUCUUAUAGCAUUGCAUCUCAACAGCCAGCCCAUUUCAGGUGAUGCUGUUAGGUACAUUAGUCUUUCAAUAAUUUCUAGCCACAGCGUUCAUAUGAAGGGCAGAUACACAAAUUAGCUUGUGCCUCAAACUUGCUACCUUAAGUGCUGGAGACCAAGAACACGGCCCAUGGGAAGGUAAAAGGUUGCAAAGAGCACCACAGAACAUGCUAAGUCCUUCAUUGUCCAUGUAACAAAUACUAAGGAAAAAGCUCAAGUUAGUGUCCCUCACUGUCAAAGGACUCCCUCCUGAUGUGCUUCUUUUGCUUCAUACUCCUUAUUAUCCUUCCCAUUUACCUCAAAACCCACAGGAGACAGAAGCACUCUGACCAGAGAUGAGAAGGGCUGAGAGAGUGGAGCUGUCACUAGCAAUAGCUGCCGUAGGCACUGGCAGGAAGGCCAGAGGAAAGAGUGUCUCUGCUCUUGUAUGGGGACAGGAGCAGGGCUCUGACAAGCUCUUUAAGCUCCCCAGGCUCCAGAAAAUGCUGCGCAAAGUGUUUUAGCAACAAAAGUCUUGAGAAGAACAAACACUCUAAUCCCUUAAUGAGCUGGCUGAUCCCCCAUCUUGGCUCUGGCUUCUCUAAAGAGACACACGCUCCCCUCCUCCCUGGCCCCCAGCCCCCUUCGGAGCAACCCGCUGCGGCCUCCUCAGAACUGAUUCAAGGUGCUCUUCGGGAUCCAAUCCAAUUACCCUGUGUCCUGCUGAGCGGCCCCACAGACAGACUGGCUCUUUCAGGGCAGAGUCUUAUGGCCUGUUAAUCCUCCCCUCAUUAAAAGACCUUGUUCCUCCCUCCUCAGAGAUGAAAAAAAAAAAACAACACAAAAAAACCCUCAACCCCACACUGGGAAAAGUUUACGCAAGAGAGCCCCAAAGUGGAGUGUGAAAGCUGGCCUGCAAGCUGUGGCCUCUGCCCGCUCUCAGGGGUCACCUCUACGUAACUUAGGAGUAUCUUUGUCUCCUCCUGCCCUCAGACCUGGCUCACGCAUGAAGAAGAUGGGCAGGAAACCGUCCCUCGCGCUGUUCUUCCACCGUGGCUUUAUUGGCUUCUCUUUAAUGGGCCUGUCAUUAAGCCAGGAGGAAGGGUGGGUGGGAGGGUUCCCAUAAAACUAAGGCCUCACAGCUAAUGAACGCAGCACCUGGGGGGAAAGGACACAGGAGCAGCAGUUGUAGUUGGUCACACAGGGCUGAGCUGGCUAUUGGCAGCCUCACAAGGACAAGGUUCCUCCUCAGAGAGGGAGGAGAGGAAAUGUCAGAGCAGCCCCCUCUGCCAUCCACCCCUCUGGUACCACACAUGCAGGAGGGACUGAGAUCUCUAUCCAGAGGGUGGCUGUUCCCACACCUGGGAGUUCUUCUCAGUACUUAGCUGGAUGGAUGAGCCAGAGAUCAGUCAACUGCAACCACCUCCUAACAAACGUGUAAUGAUGCCGUGAUUUUGCUCCUCUCUCUUCUGCUUCCUUCUGUUGGGCGAUGCAGUCACAAACCCCGGUGUUUUCCCUCCAGCUGCAUGUGCUAUCUGAAGUCUGACCAGCUCAGGUUAAAUCCACCAGUCUGAUUGUAGGUACUGCUACUGGUACCAGUACUCAUUAGCCCAUCGAUGGAGUGUAAUGAAGAGAAGGACCACUCCUCUUCUGAGGGAAGAUCCACUUACGUACAAGCCAGUCACUCUCUCAAGCAGGUGUCUUUAACUCAGCCUAUUACACAUGGCAAUAAGGAAGUAUGGUAAUGCUAAGAAAAUACUUCAUAGUCACGUUUUCCAAAGUAAAUUAUAAUUCUGAUUGUUA